AAUACCACAGCUUGCUUCGAUGAAUUUGAAGAAAUGAUUUUGAGUUUUAAAGCUCUCAGGUUGAAUUGAUCUAAACACUAUAACUUCAUACAUCACUCUCGUGCAUCCACCUCAAAAUGCUAAGAUGAUGGGAGUGACGAUUACAUUCGACUAUUGACCUCGGCAUAUUACGGCCACGACUUUCUUUCUGUUGGAUCUUGAAGAGUUGGAUUCAACUGGACAUUAAGUGUCUUUGGUCAUCGGCGUCGAUGAUUCGCUGGUCGCCGCCGCGUGUGAAGAUGGCUCCCUGGAGAUUUGAAUCUUUUCCACCUGACACAGAAGGCUGUGCUUGGUUCGGCUGGUGUCUCAUUAUAUGGCAGAUGGCUUUGUCACCAUCUAAAAGUGCCGUUAUUAAUACUGAAGCAGAGCCUGA